UGCGUUAUGGUCGAAAAUGGUAAGACACAGUCCUCGUAAGACUGUUAUAUAGGUCCGAAUCCUAUUAACGCAUCCA
rnacentral:tRNA from 1 species